rnacentral:tRNA from 1 species
GUGCCUGUAGCUCAGUUGGCAGAGCACUCGACUUUUAAUCGAGGUGUCGUGGGUUCGAAUCCCAUUAGGCACA